rnacentral:rRNA from 1 species
CAAAAAACAAUCUCAGUUCAGACUGCAGGCUGCAACUCGCCUGCACGAAGUCGGAAUUGCUAGUAAUCGUAGGUCAGCAUACUACGGUGAAUACGUUCCCGGGCCUUGUACACACCGCCCGUCAAACCAUGAGAGUUGGCAACACCCGAAGUCGGUAGUCUAACCGCAAGGAGGACGCCGCCGAAGGUGGGGUUGAUGACUGGGGUGAAGUCGUAACAAGGUAGC